rnacentral:rRNA from 1 species
AGCGACUUAUAUUCAGUGGCAAGGUUAACCGUAUAGGGGAGCCGUAGCGAAAGCGAGUCUUAACUGGGCGUUCAGUCUCUGGAUAUAGACCCGAAACCGGGUGAUCUAGCCAUGGGCAGGUUGAAGGUUGAGUAACAUCAACUGGAGGACCGAACCGACUAAUGUUGAAAAAUUAGCGGAUGACUUGUGGCUAGGGGUGAAAGGCCAAUCAAACUCGGAGAUAGCUGGUUCUCCCCGAAAGCUAUUUAGGUAGCGCCUCGGACGAAUACUACUGGGGGUAGAGCACUGUUAAGGCUAGGGGGUCAUCCCGACUUACCAACCCUUUGCAAACUCCGAAUACCAGUAAGUACUAUCCGGGAGACACACGGCGGGUGCUAACGUCCGUCGUGGAGAGGGAAACAACCCAGACCGCCAGCUAAGGUCCCAAAGUAUUGCUAAGUGGGAAACGAUGUGGGAAGGCUCAGACAGCUAGGAUGUUGGCUUAGAAGCAGCCAUCAUUUAAAGAAAGCGUAAUAGCUCACUAGUCGAGUCGGCCUGCGCGGAAGAUGUAACGGGGCUAAGCAAUACACCGAAGCUGCGGCAAUAUCUUUUAGAUAUUGGGUAGGGGAGCGUUCUGUAAGCCGUUGAAGGUGGCUCGUAAGGGCUGCUGGAGGUAUCAGAAGUGCGAAUGCUGACAUGAGUAACGACAAGGGGGGUGAAAAACCUCCCCGCCGGAAGACCAAGGGUUCCUGUCCAACGUUAAUCGGGGCAGGGUGAGUCGACCCCUAAGGCGAGGCUGAAAAGCGUAGUCGAUGGGAAACGGGUUAAUAUUCCCGUACUCGAUCAAAUUGCGAUGGGGGGACGGAGAAGGCUAGGUGGGCCAGGCGACGGUUGUCCUGGUUCAAGUGCGUAGGCUAAGAGACUAGGUAAAUCCGGUCUCUUGUUAGGCUGAGACACGACGUCGAGCACCUACGGGUGUGAAGUCAUUGAUGCCAUGCUUCCAGGAAAAGCCUCUAAGCUUCAGAUUUGAUGGAAUCGUACCCCAAACCGACACAGGUGGUCGGGUAGAGAAUACCAAGGCGCUUGAGAGAACUCGGGUGAAGGAACUAGGCAAAAUGGUACCGUAACUUCGGGAGAAGGUACGCUCUUGAUGGUGAAGUCCCUCGCGGAUGGAGCUGACGAGAGUCGCAGAUACCAGGUGGCUGCAACUGUUUAUUAAAAACACAGCACUGUGCAAAAUCGCAAGAUGACGUAUACGGUGUGACGCCUGCCCGGUGCCGGAAGGUUAAUUGAUGGGGUUAGCGCAAGCGAAGCUCUUGAUCGAAGCCCCGGUAAACGGCGGCCGUAACUAUAACGGUCCUAAGGUAGCGAAAUUCCUUGUCGGGUAAGUUCCGACCUGCACGAAUGGCGUAAUGAUGGCCACGCUGUCUCCACCCGAGACUCAGUGAAAUUGAAAUCGCUGUGAAGAUGCAGUGUACCCGCGGCUAGACGGAAAGACCCCGUGAACCUUUACUACAGCUUGGCACUGAACAUUGAACCUACAUGUGUAGGAUAGGUGGGAGGCUAUGAAGACGUGACGCUAGUUGCGUUGGAGCCGUCCUUGAAAUACCACCCUUGUAUGUUUGAUGUUCUAACUUAGACCCGUUAUCCGGGUUGAGGACAGUGCCUGGUGGGUAGUUUGACUGGGGCGGUCUCCUCCCAAAGAGUAACGGAGGAGCACGAAGGUGGGCUAAUCACGGUUGGACAUCGUGAGGUUAGUGCAAUGGCAUAAGCCCGCUUAACUGCGAGAAUGACGGUUCGAGCAGGUGCGAAAGCAGGUCAUAGUGAUCCGGUGGUUCUGUAUGGAAGGGCCAUCGCUCAACGGAUAAAAGGUACUCCGGGGAUAACAGGCUGAUACCGCCCAAGAGUUCAUAUCGACGGCGGUGUUUGGCACCUCGAUGUCGGCUCAUCACAUCCUGGGGCUGAAGUCGGUCCCAAGGGUAUGGCUGUUCGCCAUUUAAAGUGGUACGCGAGCUGGGUUUAGAACGUCGUGAGACAGUUCGGUCCCUAUCUGCCGUGGGCGUUGGAAGAUUGAAGGGGGCUGCUCCUAGUACGAGAGGACCGGAGUGGACGAACCUCUGGUGUUCGGGUUGUGUCGCCAGACGCAUUGCCCGGUAGCUAAGUUCGGAAUCGAUAACCGCUGAAAGCAUCUAAGCGGGAAGCGAGCCCUGAGAUGAGUCUUCCCUG